UACGAAGGGGGCUAGCGUUGUUCGGAAUUACUGGGCGUAAAGCGUGCGCAGGCGGCUUCUCAAGUCAGGGGUGAAAGCCCAGAGCUCAACUCUGGAAUUGCCUUUGAGACUGAGUGGCUUGAGUACGGGAGAGGUGAGUGGAAUUCCCAGUGUAGAGGUGAAAUUCGUAGAUAUUGGGAAGAACACCGGUGGCGAAGGCGGCUCUCUGGUCCGGUACUGACGCUGAGGCGCGAAAGCGUGGGGAGCAAACAGG
rnacentral:rRNA from 1 species